GCUCCCGUGGUGAAAUGGAUAUCACGCGACGCUUCGGACGUCGAAUUUCGGGUUCGAGUCCUGACGGGAGCG
rfam:Parcubacteria (Adlerbacteria) bacterium GW2011_GWA1_54_10 TY83_C0001, whole genome shotgun sequence.